rnacentral:lncRNA from 1 species
CUGCCAUCUGUGGUGGCCUAGAGAAAAUGAAAAUGACAGGGUUCCAGAAUUUUUGAGGCCACGUGGUGGCACCUUGGACAUAACCAAUAGGCAGCAAGGCUAGAGUAGCAACAAAAAAGGCCUGACUCACUGGGAUUUGUGACUUCAGGCCAAAGUACCAUCAUCUGCUGAGAGGAAGCAAAGCAUAAAUAGGAAGCCUACUUAUGGUGAUGGGCAAAGGAGCUCUGCUUGGAUCCUGCUAUUACAGAAUUGUCAAAAGGAACAUUCCUCCAACCGCUUACAUUUUGUAGUAUAUUUGAGCAAAACAACACGAUUCCCAAAUCAGCCACUCCAACCAAGGAUGUGAUCUGACAGCACUUAUUCAAAAACAGAGAGGUUAGGGUUUGAAUUGGUGAAAUGAAUAAAGCAGAAGGUCCUGUCCAAUCUAAUGUGAGUAGAACAAGAAAGCACAGUAGUGUUGGAUUUGCCCUCUCUCUGUCUGACGUGUGAGCUGUGACAUCCAUCUUCUCCUGCCUGUGGUGCUCCUGGUUUCCUGUCAUUCAGACCUCCUGGAAUCUACACCAUUGCUUCUCCAGCUGUGAAGGCCUCAAAACAAACAACACCACCUUUUGUGGGCCAUCAGCUUACAGGCAGCAGAUCGUGGG